ensembl:lncRNA
CUGGCAAGUCCUGGUCAAAGUGGCCAAAAUCUUUUGUCUGAAGAUUUGCAGGACAGGGGCAACCAGAGAGAGAUGAGUAGCAGCUUAAUGGCCAGGAAGCAGUCAUUUGUGUGGGCUUAUCUUGAGGGAGACAGCCAUCUCAAGUGGCACUCACAUGACUUUUACCCAGGUGCCCGGGAAUGGCACUUUGACAGAAGAAGGAUAUAAAAAAGGGACCAGCAGGCAAGCAGCAAGGUGGCUGACAUCAGAUGCCUCACGACGUGAUGCCUGCCUGCUGACAGACUCUUCUGGGCCUGCUACCUGAGACCUGCCUCUUCCUCCUGGACUUGCUGUCACUGGACCUGCGUGCUGCCUAAGACUGGCCACUCUGCUGCUGCUCUCCCCCUGCAACUUUGCCUCGGACCAUCAGAACAGCAUGCAAUGGGACAUUGCUGGAUCUUGAUGGUGACUAUCUCUGCUUUCCGUAAUUCUUGCUUCUUUCCUAUCUUUCCUAUUGCCCGCUUUCCCUUCCCCACCACCCCAAUUCAUAAUAGUUGGCAUCCUUCUCUUCCCCAUCUCCCUAAACAGGUUGGGCUAACAUUUCAACCACUGUCUUAAUCUCACCAUUGGGUAUACAAGUAUUAAAAGAACCUCCUCUCUCUCCUAUAAAUCAGAGAGAGAGACUGCCAAACCCUACAAGCAGAAGCUGCACAAGCAGGUGCAGCAGCCCUCUUCACUGCUGACCCCCCACCCUGCUGUGCUGCAGCUGGACAGCCCCCGCCAGCCAUGUCAUCCGAGGCCUGUUCCAUCCCUUUUGACAAGAACGAGCGUGAGACUUUUUCUUUCUUUCCACAGGAAGGCCUGUCCUAAUUUAUCAGAGGGGGAAUGCAUUAAUUGGCCUGCCUCCUCCUCCCUCAUUUCCCUGAGUUGAAGCUGCAGGCCCUUGCUCAGUCACCACAGUCACCCGCCUCUUCCACUCUAUGAAUUAGCUGUGGUGGAAAUGUUGUACGACCCCAUGUUUGUUCCUAACAAUCCAUGCGAAGACUGUGAUCCUGAAAGAGUUCAGAGGACAUCAAAUCUGUGGCAGAAACUCAUAAGAACAGCACCUGAAAAGUACACCAGUGCACUAGCAGCAACAUAUGAAAGAUACGUGGAGCAACAUAGAAGAUCCCUAUUUUUUGAACUCAUUAUUACGCUUCAAAACUUUGAACAACAGUUACCCCCGUCUCAUGCUUAAAUUUCAGCCAUCUCCUCAUUCACCUGCUCAAGCAAAUAAUUGUAGGAAAUCUGUGUCUCAUGCUGUUACAUGAGCAUGGAGAAGACAUGAAGAAGUGGCAUAAAAAACCCAAUCCUGUACUACAAGCAUGGAUGAGAGAAUUACAAAACAGAACAACCACCAGGGCAAUUGCUCCAGUUACUGCGGGUCCUGAUCACGACUCACAAGAGAACAACAACUCAUGUAGCAAAGAGAGGGGCUCUGCCAUCAGAUUGGGGGGGAGGAAGGGAUAGUAGAGUGUAUUGGCCUGUGUAAAUUCAAUGGCCUGGCACAUCAGAACCACAGAAAUAUAAGGCAUUGGUGGACAGUGGUGCACAGUGCGCUCUAAUGCCCUCGAGUCACGAAGGCACAGAACGGAUUUGUAUUUCUGGAGUGACUGGGGGCUCUAAAGAAUUGACUGUAUUGGAGACUGAAAUACGCCUCACUGGUAAAGAUGGGCAAAAGCAUCCCAACACCAUUUCAUAGUGGGAGAAGCAUAGAGGAAGCAUUUAUACCAUAUAGAAGUAAA